ensembl:lncRNA
GAUGGAUUGGGGGGAAGGGAGAAGCAGACGGAGUGACUGGAAACAUUUUUUUCCCCCUGUUAAAAGAACUCUGCCUGGAAAUUAACAUGCAAGAAAUUCAGGAUGAUUUAUACACACCUAAGACAUCAUCAUUUAUGUAAAUGGCUCUUCCCAGUCCUCUUAGGCACAAUUACUCCCGAAAGUUGCUUAUUUUCAAAGAAAGGAAUGCGGCAGGACCAUCUGAUGGUCUCGCCUUGAGACUGCUCUGCAAUAAUAUUAAGGAAAAAUCAACCACGCCUCUUAGGAAAAGGGAAUCUAGGCUCUGGCCCUGGACCCAAGUUAAGGAUCCAGUUUUCUCUGGUACAGAGUUUCCUUUCAGUCCGUCAGAGGCUAUCCUCCCCAAAGGAAUCCAACAAAGGGUGUUUUUGAGGAGCAUUGUGGGAAUUUCCUAAGACAUGGGCUGGACGGCAGUGACAUUAAGUUCUCUGUCUCUGCCUGAGAGGCGCAGCUCUCAGUAAUUCUGAGUAACCAGGGAAGACGCAGCUGAACCAAAGCUGGAGAGUGUUUUACAUAGUCCUAUAGGAGAAGAAAAGAACGAUAUUUUUCCGAGCUUUUCUGGAGCAAAGGAUGCUUGAGGGAGUGAAAGAGGGAUUAUGAGAGAGGAGGAACCUGUUCACACCCAGUGACUUCCCAACAUCGCUAGCAGGAACACUCAUCAGGCAGCCAAGGUGAAAACACAGAGGCUCUAAAAUGUCUACACACAACAAGGCCAAAGUUUUCUUAAUAUCUUUGAGUAUGGUCGCUUUUGUGGUUAUGGUGGUGAUGAAUGGUGCGGCAGGUUCUGGAGCAUUCAAAGGUAUAUUCCAGAGAACUGUUGGAAACAUCUCCAACAAGUAUAACACUGACUUGACCCCAGCUGGCUGGACCUUCUUCAUUUGGAAUGUCAUCUAUUUGUGGCAGUUAGCUUGGCUUGGCUAUGCUCUAUCUGGAAUCUGCAGAAGGAAUGAACUUGGAUGGUUCUACGCGAAACCAGAUGUCUUGCCAAUUCUGUUUUACGUGGUGUGGAUCCUGAAUAACGCCUUGAAUGUUGGGUGGCUGUUUCUAUGGGACAAAGAGUUCUACCUGGAAAACUUCCUCCUGGAUAAAUAUGUGCAUUACAUCCUCACUGUAUACCCGGUGGUCAUGGUCGCAUUGUCUGGCAAUAUUGCUCAGCACUAUAAUACAUCUGCUCCAAGCAGAAACAACAUCUUCGCAGUUGUCCUGAUGGUUGCGACAAGUGUGAUGUUUUUGGUUCGGCUUGGCCUGGUUACCUGCAGGCAUCGCUAUCAGCCGCUUACUGUGAGUGAGUCAUUGUUUUCAGAGCCGGUAAAGCUAGGAAAGAACCUCAGAGAUGCUGAAGAUGACCUUAGGAAAAGAAGCUACAGAUCUCAGGAGAUGGAGCCAGAACACCUUGCUGUGAAGUCAUUCUAAUUAUGGGCAAGACCAUUGAGCAUCAGGGCUUUGCCUCAUGCCAAAACAGCUGUGGAAUAUGGAUGAAUGAAACGCAUUUAUUCAGCAUUUACUAAGUGCUAACCAUUAGGUUAAUUGUUAGGGAUACAAAUACAGAAGUGAGACCUCAUCUUUGUCUUCAAAGGGCUUUUUAGGGGAAAACAAAGCAUAUGGUGGCCUAGGAAUAAUAUUUUGGCCUGGGAAGUAGCAGGAAUGGCAUAUGGAGCCCUAGAGGAAUCAAAUAAUUACUUUUUUUUAAAAAAUUUCUCUUAAAAUAAAUAAACGUUUAUUUUCCUUUUUCCCA